rnacentral:tRNA from 1 species
GGGGAUGUAGCUCAGUGAUAGAGCACUUGCCUAGCAUGUAGAAGGCCCCGCGUUCCAUCCCCA